AAGAUGUAGUAUAAAUAGAAUACAUUUCAUUUACACUGAAAAAAUACUUAGCUAAUAAGUUGUCUU
rnacentral:tRNA from 1 species